rnacentral:lncRNA from 1 species
GUAAUGGUAAUGGUAGUGGUAUGAUGAAAAAAACAGAAUAUAUACAAAUAAAAAAUAUAAAUUUUUUAAAUAAAUUAAAGUCAUGUGAAUCAAAAUGUAGGGAAAAAAAAAUGUAGUAUUUUUUUAGAGAGUAAAAAAAAAAAUAGUAGUAGUAGCACGUUAAGCAAAAUAGAUGAAAUGUGGUUAACAAAGAUAAAAAAUUAUUAUAUAAGCGAAAUGAAAUUAAAAAAGUCAUUAAUCCCAUUUUUAAGAAAUGCAAAAAAAACAAAACAUAGUAAAAAUUUAGAAAAUAAACACAUUUUUAAAUUUUGUUCUGACCGGAUGCGCUUUGACAGUUUAUUUUUUGAUAUUAUGGAUGAAAAGAGUAAAGAAUAUGAUGGGAGUUACAUGCAAAGAGAAAAUGCAAAUGUUGCAGCGCGUAGAGGCAUAAGUGGAGAUGUCGUAAGUGGAGAUAUGGACAAAAAUUUAAAAACGAAUAGAGGAAAAAAAUUGAGCAUAGGUUUAAAUAAAAGUGUACAUAUUAAUAAGAAAACAUAUGAAUUUGAUUGUUUUAAAAAGAAUUUAUGUGACGCUAAUGAUUACGAUUUUUUUCAAAACUUAAGGGGUUGUAGUCAAAAUACGUUUUUGGAAUAUACAACUGGGGGUAAUGGAGGUAGAGCAUCCUUGGGUGUGAAAAACGAUAGUAAUGAAAAAAGAUGUAGCGAUAGUAAUAACAAUAAUAACAAAGAUGGAGGUAAUAACAAAGAUGGAGGUAAUAAUGAUUGUAAAAAAAAUGCAUCAUAUAAUAAUUAUGAUAAUAAAAAAAAAUAUUAUUCAGAUGGAGCAGAAUAUGACAAAAUAAGAAAAAAAAAUGGAAAGUAUAAAAAAUAUACUCAUUUUUUAGCUAAAGAAAAUAAAGAGAUAAAAAGGAAACAAUCGAAUAGUAACGACAAAAAUAGUAACAAAAAAAAUAGUAACAAAAAAAAUAGUGACAAAAAAGAUAGUGAAAAAAAAUAUAGUGACAAAAAAGAUAGUGACAAAAAAGAUAGUGAAAAAAAAAGAUAGUGACAAAAAAGAUUGUGACAAAAAAGAUUGUGAAAAAAAAGAUAGUGACAAAAAAGAAAGCAAUGAAAGUGAAAAUUUUACUAAUAAUAUAAAAACAAAUGUAAGUAUACAUUUAUUUGACAACAGGAAAACGUAUUUUUUUAAAAAUGAGUAUACUAUACGAAAAUUACUUAAAAUAGCUUUAAUUGGUGGAAGUAAAAAAUUAAUACAAAAAUUAUAUGACUUGGGUAGAAGUGAUGCAUAUAUGUGGUUAUAUUUGGAAUAUUUAUAUGUCGGUAUGUUCAUAUAUAAUAAAAUUUAUAACAUAUAUUUAAAGUUAUGUUCG